GAGAGAGAGAGAGAGAGAGAGAGAGAGAGAGAGAGAGAGAGAGAGAGAGAGAGAGAGAGAGAGAGAGAGAAGGAGUGGGGAAAAAGGGAAAGGAACAGAGAUGAGGUGGUAGGCAGGUGAGGGAUGAAGAUGAAGAAGAGGAAUAGAGGAGCGCUAGUACAGGAAGCCUGGCACAAGAAAAAUACUAGCCCUGCAAGGGAGAGGGGAGGGGAGGAGGAAGAAAGAAGACGGAGAGGAAAAAAGAAA